AUAACUUCAGCAUACGGGGCUGAAGUAGCAAAGACAAUCACGCAAAACUUCAGUAUUUUAGUAGCCGGACUUGAAAUUCACCUCUAGAAUGAAGUUUUUGUUUUAUAACUGGUGAACUACAGAAAGUAACCAAUCGUAGAAAGCAGCUAUUACUCUAAGACGAUUGGACCUAAAAUCUCUUAGUCCUACCUGUUGCAUAAGCAUACGUAUACUUACAUCUCCUCGUCGAGACACCACAUUUGCCUUUA
rnacentral:lncRNA from 1 species